CUCGAGAAACUUCGAUUGAGAUAGAAUAAAACCCAGAAAGUAGAGGUCCUUCGAAGUUGCAAACUUCAAGAAACCAGAAAUGGAAAAUGAAAGUUAAGAGAAAAAAGAAUUUGCUUCCCAACACACUUCACAAGUUCUAAUAUUUGUAUGUUUAAGAGGUAUUUCGGUAACUUCACGAUGAAAAGUGAGAACCAAGUAAGAGAACUGUAUCGAGCAUAUAUCUCCACGUAUAGCCACGGCUUUCCUCCUCUCCGAGUAUAUCAUGAUGGCCAAAUUUAGUAUAUGCUAGAUUACUCUACUUCAUUAGUCAGAAAGCACGGCAACCAACUAUGUUGUUUAUAAAGGGGAUAAAUCUCAAAUUUAUACAUGAACUUCGAUCCAAUAUGUAAUGCUAUACAUGAACUUUCAUAUAGUGCAAUUAUCUACAUGAAACUUUGAUUUUGGUUUCAAUUGUACAUAUGAAAUUUCAAUUCUAUUCAAUUGUACACGUUUUGAAAUUAAAUACAUCCAUUUAUUUUAAUGUUGGAUAAAUAUAAUUGUUUGUGUAUGCAUGAUGUAUACGUAAAAUGGAGUUCUGUCAAAACAAUGUUAGUAAUUUGUGAAAAUUGAAUCGAAUCAGAAUUUCAAGUAUAAAAUUGAACAUUAAACUAAAGUUUGUGUGUGAUAUUGAUUCAUCCCUCUAGAAAGUUCUUAAUAUGCUAAGAUAGAAAGUCCGAGAGCUUAAUGCAAGCACUGCCUCUGGUGGCUUGCAGGCAGAUUGUUGUCAAUUUUCCAGUUAUAUUUCAUCAUAUACCGGCCGAUCAAAAAAUAGAACAGAAAAUUUAAUAGGAAAGUAUUAGAUAA
rnacentral:lncRNA from 1 species